CCCUCUACGGAGGAUUUAUGGGAAGAGAAGAAUGCCAGCAGAGGGAAGAUCCAUACCACUCAAAUGACAGAUCCUCUCCUGCCUUUCAAUGACAACUGGCCCAGCACUCCAGAUACCUGAAUAUCUGGUGUCCAAUAGACACCCUGACUCUGCAUGUGUAGUCACAACUUCACCAUGGCCAGUUCUUAUCAGAUGAAGGUCCACCGUCC
rnacentral:lncRNA from 1 species